rnacentral:misc_RNA from 1 species
AAGUCGUAACAAGGUUUCCGUAGGUGAACCUGCGGAAGGAUCAUUAACACGUAACGGAUAUUCCCACUUGAUUUACCAGGAUUGCUGAUUGUCACGGGCGGCAAGAACGCUCUGAAGGUUCACGGGGGGUUUAACGUUGGAUACGUAUUGAUUCAGGACCUCUGCUGUCAUGUGUUAGGGAAACCAUAGCGGCAAUUGAGAGCUUUUAUCGUUAGUUUGGCGUCCUGGCCGGGCGAGUGAAAGUGUCGCUAGACGGUUUCUAGGGUAAGGCUUCGCCAUCGCUGGAGGCUCACCACGUAGCCGGCGGACAAACUACAGGGCUAUAUGCCCCCUAAUGACGACCAAGUUAAAUAGGGCCUCUGUCACAUAGCAAGUGCGCCGUGCCAGAGGAAAAGUACAACUGUUAACAAUGGAUAUCUUGGUUCUC